CCAAUGGAACCCAGAACCCUCCGGAGUUCAUCAGGACCUGUCGGCAUGAGUGAGGCGAACACAUCGUGCGUUGGAGGAAGAGUUGCAGUGACGACUUGGACCACAGGCCAGAAGCCUGAAAUAGAUUCUUUGAGAAUCUUAAAAGUCAAACAACUGGGCCUUGCGGGGAAGACUGAUGACGUGAGAAAAAAAGGAAAAAGCUGAUGAGCAGACGUGAGCGGCAGUGGUGCUGGUGGCGCAGGAUGUCCUGGAGGAGGACGACCUCGACUACCUCAAAGGAGCUGAUGCCAGCCUUGUGUCUGAUGGGGAAACAAGUGCACAUUUGUUGUGCUCUGUCUGAGAUGGAGAAGUGUGCGCCUUGCUGGCGUACUUCAUUGAUGCCAGCAAGCCCAGCCAGCGAGUGACCGAUAGUGGCCGGUUCUCCCUUCGUGACACCCCCCCCCUUCUGCGGCCGACAAAGCUUGAAAUAUGAUUAAAU